UACAGAGGGUGCAAGCGUUAAUCGGAAUUAUUGGGCGUAAAGGGCUCGUAGGCGGUUUGUCGCGUCGGGAGUGAAAACUCAGGGCUUAACCCUGAGCCUGCUUCCGAUACGGGCAGACUAGAGGUAUGCAGGGGAGAACGGAAUUCCUGGUGUAGCGGUGAAAUGCGCAGAUAUCAGGAGGAACACCGGUGGCGAAGGCGGUUCUCUGGGCAUUACCUGACGCUGAGGAGCGAAAGUGUGGGGAGCGAACAGG
rnacentral:rRNA from 1 species